GAUGAACGCUAGCUACAGGCUUAACACAUGCAAGUCGAGGGGUCUCGCGGGAGCUUGCUUCCAAGAGACGACCGGCGCACGGGUGAGUAACGCGUAUCCAACCUGCCCUUCAUAUUGGGAUAGCCUUCCGAAAGGAAGAUUAAUACCGAAUAACAUGAGAAAGUUGCCUGAUUCUCUCAUGAAAGCUCCGGCGAUGAAGGAUGGGGAUGCGUUCCAUUAGGUAGUAGGCGGGGUAACGGCCCACCUAGCCUACGAUGGAUAGGGGUUUUGAGAGGAAGUUCCCCCACACUGAAACGUGAACGCGGUCCAGACUCCUACGUGGAGCAGCAGAGAGGAAAAUUGGUCAAUGGGCGCAAGCCUGAACCAGCCAAGUAGCGUGAAGGAUAACUGCCCUAUGGGUAGUAAACUUCUUUUAUACGGGAACAAACCUUGGUACGCGUACCAAAUUGCGUGUACCGUAUGAAUAAGCAUCGGCUAACUCCGUGCCAGCAGCCGCAGUAAGAC
rnacentral:rRNA from 1 species